rnacentral:rRNA from 1 species
CCUACGUGGGGCAGCAGUGGGGAAUAUUGGGCAAUGGGCGCAAGCCUGACCCAGCAACGCCGCGUGAAGGAAGACGGCUUUCGGGUUGUAAACUUCUUUUGUCAGGGAAGUGUAGACGACGGUACCUGACGAUUAAGCCACGGCUAACUACGUGCAAGCAGCCGCGGUAAUACGUAGGUGGCAAGCGUUGUCCGGAUUUACUGGGUGUAAAGGGCGUGUAGCCGGGUUGACAAGUCAGAUGUGAAAUCCUGCGGCUUAACCGCAGAACUGCAUUUGAAACUGUUGAUCUUGAGUACUGGAGAGGCAGAUGGAAUUCCUGGUGUAGCGGUGAAAUGCGUAGAGAUUAGGAGGAACACCAGUGGCGAAGGCGGUCUGCUGGACAGCAACUGACGGUGAGGCGCGAAAGCGUGGGGAGCAAACAGGAUUAGAUACCCGAGUAGUC